GAUGAACGCUGGCGGCGUGCUUAACACAUGCAAGUCGAACGGAAAGGCCCAAGCUUGCUUGGGUACUCGAGUGGCGAACGGGUGAGUAACACGUGGGUGAUCUGCCCUGCACUUCGGGAUAAGCCUGGGAAACUGGGUCUAAUACCGGAUAGGACCACGUCUUGGAUGUUGUGGUGGCAAGUUUUUUCGGUGUGGGAUGAGCUCGCGGCCUAUCAGCUUGUUGGUGGGGUAAUGGCCUACCAAGGCGUCGACGGGUAGCCGGCCUGAGAGGGUGUACGGCCACAUUGGGACUGAGAUACGGCCCAGACUCCUACGGGAGGCAGCAGUGGGGAAUAUUGCACAAUGGGCGCAAGCCGGAUGCAGCGACGCGGCGUGGGGGACGACGGCCUUCGGGUUGUAAACUCCUUUCGCUAGGGACGAAGCGUGUUUGUGACGGUACCUGGAGAAGAAGCACCGGCUAACUACGUG
rnacentral:rRNA from 1 species